GGGAAGGUAUUGCAUCAAUGGCAGGCAGCAUGCAUGCAGCCAUGCCGCGUGUAUGAAGAAGGCCUUCGGGUUGUAAAGUACUUUCAGCGAGGAGGAAGGUGUUGUGGUUAAUAACCGCAGCAAUUGACGUUACUCGCAGAAGAAGCACCGGCUAACUCCGUGCCAGCAGCCGCGGUAAUACGGAGGGUGCAAGCGUUAAUCGGAAUUACUGGGCGUAAAGCGCACGCAGGCGGUCUGUCAAGUCGGAUGUGAAAUCCCCGGGCUUAACCUGGGAACUGCAUCCGAAACUGGCAGGCUAGAGUCUUGUAGAGGGGUGAGAAUUCCAGGUGUAGCGGUGAAAUUGCGUAGAGAUCUGGAGGAAUACCGGUGGCGAAGGCGGCCCCUGCGCAAAGACUGACGCUCAGGUGCGAAAGCGUGGGAGCAAACA
rnacentral:rRNA from 1 species